UAACAACCUGGAAACAGAUGCUAAUACCGGAUAACAACAGAUGAUGCCUAUCAACUGUUUAAAAGAUGGUUCUGCUAUCACUCUUGGAUGGACCUGCGGUGCAUUAGCUAGUUGGUAGGGUAACGGCCUACCAAGGCGAUGAUGCAUAGCCGAGUUGAGAGACUGAUCGGCCACAUUGGGACUGAGACACGGCCCAAACUCCUACGGGAGGCAGCAGAA
rnacentral:rRNA from 1 species